GAAAAUAACAUUCAAAAUUGCAUCUUUACCUAUUUUUCAUUCAUAAUGUACCAUAUAUCACUGCUUCAACCAUACUUUUGAGAAUUUUCAAAAGUUCUUGCUACUUCAAAGCUUCACGUCCACUUGAUCAACAAGAAAGAUUAUAUGCAUUUCACGUGAAGCAUGUAUUGUUUAAGCAGCCGAAUUAAAUUACCAGCCCACUGAAGAAAUGUGGCACGCGCAGUACAUUCUGUUACUAAUAUGUAAGGUCCUCACGGAAAAGAUCCUCAAAAAAAGAACGUGAUAACAUGUUACAUGGUGUGUUACACUGUACCGCCAUUUUGUACAACCUAGUAAGCACCACGUUUGCUCUAUCACGGUCGCAUUUCCCUUCCUACGCUCCGCGUCUUGCUGUUUCACUGUCUAGCUUCCUUGAACGCUUGAGCGCAUAAGAUUUUUGCAGCAAUAGAUUAGUUCUAACGUGCAUCUUUCACGGUGCUAUCACUGAACAUGACCGGAAAGUACAACCAAAACAUGGCUAGCAUCUAAGUCCGCCGGGACAGUGAAAUCGGUAGAACUACGAUAAUGACUGGAACUGAAAGUUGAGAUCCCAAGGCCGCCCAUUCCCAAUGAAUCCUAUCUGCCUGCCCAGUUGAAUUAUGCUAGGCUAGUUAAGACUUAAUAGCUCAAGAAGUAAGGCAAGGCGGGAUUGCGUGCAUGGUGUGACUUGUGAGUGCGUAUA
rnacentral:lncRNA from 1 species